rnacentral:rRNA from 1 species
GACGAACCGUGCGAACGUUGUUCGGAAUCACUGGGCUUAAAGGGCGCGUAGGCGGGCUGCCAAGUCUGGGGUGAAAUCCCACGGCUCAACCGUGGAACUGCCUCAGAUACUGGCGGCCUCGAGGGGGGUAGGGGCAUGCGGAACUAUGCGUGGAGCGGUGAAAUGCGUUGAUAUGCAUAGGAACUCCGGUGGCGAAGGCGGCGUGCUGGACCCUUUCUGACGCUGAUGCGCGAAAGCCAGGGGAGCGAACGGG